rnacentral:misc_RNA from 1 species
AAGUCGUAACAAGGUUUCCGUAGGUGAACCGUGCGGAAGGAUCAUUAAAGAGAGGGACGUUCGCGUUCCGGGGGCUUCGGCCCCAUCCUCUUCACCCCGUGUUUGACCUUACCCACAUUCGUUUGCUUUGGCAGGCCUUGGGGUCGUGCUCAUGCCGCCCCGGGGGGAUGUCCCCCGGGGGGUCGAGCGCCUGCCGAAAAGCCCAUUUAACUUCUUGAAUCAACCAUGUUGUCUGAGUGAAAACAAAAAUUCAAGCAAAAAG